UACGUAGGAGGCGAGCGUUGUCCGGAGUUACUGGGCGUAAAGGGUGCGCAGGCGGUGGCCCGCGUGGGCGGUGAAAGCUCCUGGCUCAACUGGGAGAGGGCCGUCCAGACGGGGUCACUUGAGGGGCGGAGAGGGGCGUGGAAUUCCGGGUGGAGCGGUGAAAUGCGUAGAGAUCCGGAGGAACACCGACGGCGAAGGCAGUGUCCUGGGGAGUACCUGACGCUCAGGUGCGAAAGCCAGGGGAGCGAACGGG
rnacentral:rRNA from 1 species